GUCGGGAUAGCUCAGCUGGUAGAGCAGAGGACUGAAAAUCCUCGUGC
rnacentral:tRNA from 1 species